GGUUCCGUGGUGUAGUGGUUAUCACGUUCGCUUUACACGCGAAAGGUCCCUCCCCGGUUCGAUCCCGGGCGGAACCA
rnacentral:tRNA from 1 species